AUGUCUCUGUUUCACUACAUCACUCCUCAGGUACCUCUCUCUCCCCCAUCCCAGAGGAGCCCAGUGGGUUCCAGACCAGAGGAUUCAACACGGACCUCCCUGAUGUCUCUAUUUCACUACAUCACUCCUCAGGUACCUAUCUCUCUCUCUCCUCUUCUCUCCCUAUCCCUCUCUCUCCUCUUCUCUCCCUAUCCCUCUCUCUCUCUCCCUAUCUCUCUCUCUCCCCCUCUCCCUAUCCCUCUCUCUCUCUCCCUAUCUCUCUCUAUCCCCGCUCUCCCUAUCCCUCUCUCUCCCCUUCUCUCCCUAUCCCUCUCUCUCCCCUUCUCUCCCUAUCCCUCUCUCUCUAUCUCUCUCUCUCCCCCUCUCCCUAUCCCUCUCUCUCUCUCCCUAUCUCUCUCUCUCUCCCUCUCCCUAUCCCUCUCUCUCUCUCCCUAUCUCUCUCUCUCCCCCUCUCCCUAUCCCUCUCUCUCUCUCCCUAUCUCUCUCUCUCUCUCCCUAUCCCUCUCUCUCCUCUUCUCUCCCUAUCCCUCUCUCUCUCUCCCUAUCUCUCUCUCUCCCCCUCUCCCUAUCCCUCUCUCUCUCUCCCUAUCCCUCUCUCUCCUCUUCUCUCCCUAUCCCUCUCUCUCUCUCCCUAUCUCUCUCUCUCCCCCUCUCCCUAUCCCUCUCUCUCUCUCCCUAUCUCUCUCUCUCCCCCUCUCCCUCUCUCUCUCUCCCUAUCUCUCUCUCUCCCCCUCUCCCUCUCUCUCUCUCCCUAUCUCUCUCUCUCCCCCUCUCCCUAUCCCUCUCUCUCUCUCCCUAUCCCUCUCUCUCCUCUUCUCUCCCUAUCCCUCUCUCUCUCUCCCUAUCUCUCUCUCUCCCCCUCUCCCUAUCCCUCUCUCUCUCUCCCUAUCUCUCUCUCUCCCCCUCUCCCUCUCUCUCUCUCCCUAUCUAUCUCUCUCCCCCUCUCCCUAUCCCUCUCUCUCUCUCCCUAUCUCUCUCUCUCUCUCCAACAGCAGAAAACAACAGAAUAGCCUGCAUCCCAAAUGGCAUCCUACCCUAUGGUCACUGCACUAUAUAGGGAAUAGAGCCCUAUGGUCACUGCACUAUAUAGGGAAUAGAGCCCUAUGGUCACUGCACUAUAUAGGGAAUAGAGCCCUAUGGUCACUGCACUAUAUAGGGAAUAGAGCCCUAUGGUCACUGCACUAUAUAGGGAAUAGAGCCCUAUGGUCACUGCACUAUAUAGGGAAUAGAGCCCUAUGGUCACUGCACUAUAUAGGGAAUAGAGCCCUAUGGUCACUGCACUAUAUAGGGAAUAGAGCCCUAUGGUCACUGCACUAUAUAGGGAAUAGAGCCCUAUGGUCACUGCACUAUAUAGGGAAUAGAGCCCUAUGGUCACUGCACUAUAUAGGGAAUAGAGCCCUAUGGUCACUGCACUAUAUAGGGAAUAGAGCCCUAUGGUCUCUGCACUAUAUAGGGAAUAGAGCCCUAUGGUCACUGCACUAUAUAGGGAAUAGAGCCCUAUGGUCACUGCACUAUAUAGGGAAUAGAGCCCUAUGGCCACUGCACUAUAUAGGGAAUAGAGCCCUAUGGCCACUGCACUAUAUAGGGAAUAGAGCCCUAUGGUCACUGCACUAUAUAGGGAAUAGAGCCCUAUGGUCACUGCACUAUAUAGGGAAUAGAGCCCUAUGGUCACUGCACUAUAUAGGGAAUAGAGCCCUAUUGUCACUGCACUAUAUAGGGAAUAGAGCCCUAUGGUCACUGCACUAUAUAGGGAAUAGAGCCCUAUGGUCACUGCACUAUAUAGGGAGUAGAGCCCUAUGGUCACUGCGCUAUAUAGGGAGUAGAGCCCUAUGGUCACUGCACUAUAUAGGGAGUAGAGCCCUAUGGUCACUGCACUAUAUAGGGAAUAGAGCCCUAUGGUCACUGCACUAUAUAGGGAAUAGAGCCCUAUGGUCACUGCACUAUAUAGGGAAUAGAGCCCUAUGGUCACUGCACUAUAUAGGGAAUAGAGCCCUAUGGUCACUGCACUAUAUAGGGAAUAGAGCCCUAUGGUCACUGCACUAUAUAGGGAAUAGAGCCCUAUGGUCACUGCACUAUAUAGGGAAUAGAGCCCUAUGGUCACUGCACUAUAUAGGGAGUAGAGCCCUAUGGUCACUGCACUAUAUAGGGAAUAGAGCCCUAUGGUCACUGCACUAUAUAGGGAAUAGAGCCCUAUGGUCACUGCACUAUAUAGGGAAUAGAGCCCUAUGGUCACUGCACUAUAUAGGGAAUAGAGCCCUAUGGUCACUGCACUAUAUAGGGAAUAGAGCCCUAUGGUCACUGCACUAUAUAGGGAAUAGAGCCCUAUGGUCACUGCACUAUAUAGGGAAUAGAGCCCUAUGGUCACUGCACUAUAUAGGGAAUAGAGCCCUAUGGUCACUGCACUAUAUAGGGAAUAGAGCCCUAUGGUCACUGCACUAUAUAGGGAAUAGAGCCCUAUGGUCACUGCACUAUAUAGGGAAUAGAGCCCUAUGGUCACUGCACUAUAUAGGGAAUAGAGCCCUAUGGUCACUGCACUAUAUAGGGAACAGAGCCCUAUGGUCACUGCACUAUAUAGGGAAUAGAGCCCUAUGGUCACUGCACUAUAUAGGGAAUAGAGCCCUAUGGUCACUGCACUAUAUAGGGAACAGAGCCCUAUGGUCACUGCACUAUAUAGGGAAUAGAGCCCUAUGGUCACUGCACUAUAUAGGGAAUAGAGCCCUAUGGUCACUGCACUAUAUAGGGAAUAGAGCCCUAUGGCCACUGCACUAUAUAGGGAACAGAGCCCUAUGGUCACUGCACUAUAUAGGGAAUAGAGCCCUAUGGUCACUGCACUAUAUAGGGAGUAGAGCCCUAUGGUCACUGCACUAUAUAGGGAAUAGAGCCCUAUGGUCACUGCACUAUAUAGGGACUAGUGGGGCUAGAGACAGGCACUACACUUCUCCGUUCAGUAGUGGGGCUAGAGACAGGCACUACACUUCUCCGUUCAGUAGUGGGGCUAGAGACAGGCACUACACUUCUCCGUUCAGUAGUGGGGCUAGAGACAGGCACUACACUUCUCCGUUCAGUAGUGGGGCUAGAGACAGGCACUACAGUUGUCUGUUCAGUAGUGGGGCUAGAGACAGGCACUACACUUCUCCGUUCAGUAGUGGGGCUAGAGACAGGCACUACACUUGUCUGUUCAGUAGUGGGGCUAGAGACAGGCACUACACUUCUCCGUUCAGUAGUGGGGCUAGAGACAGGCACUACACUUGUCUGUUCAGUAGUGGGGCUAGAGACAGGCACUACACUUCUCCGUUCAGUAGUGGGGCUAGAGACAGGCACUACAGUUGUCUGUUCAGUAGUGGGGCUAGAGACAGGCACUACACUUCUCCGUUCAGUAGUGGGGCUAGAGACAGGCACUACACUUGUCUGUUCAGUAUUGGGGCUAGAGACAGGCACUACACUUCUCCAUUCAGUAGUGGGGCUAGAGACAGGCACUACACUUCUCCGUUCAGUAGUGGGGCUAGAGACAGGCACUACACUUCUCCGUUCAGUAGUGGGGCUAGAGACAGGCACUACACUUCUCCGUUCAGUAGCUGGGAUAGAGACAGGCACUACACUUCUCCGUUCAGUAGUGGGGCUAGAGACAGACACUACACUUCACCGUUCAGUAGUGGGGCUAGAGACAGGCACUACACUUCUCCGUUCAGUAGCUGGGAUAGAGACAGGCACUACACUUCUCCGUUCAGUAGUGGGGCUAGAGACAGGCACUACACUUGUCUGUUCAGUAGCGAGUCUAGAGACAGGCACUACACUUCUCCGUUCAGUAGUGGGGCUAGAGACAGGCACUACACUUGUCUGUUCAGUAGUGGGGCUAGAGACAGGCACUACACUUCUCCGUUCAGUAGUGGGGCUAGAGACAGGCACUACACUUGUCUGUUCAGUAGUGGGGCUAGAGACAGGCACUACACUUCUCCGUUCAGUAGUGGGGCUAGAGACAGGCACUACAGUUGUCUGUUCAGUAGUGGGGCUAGAGACAGGCACUACACUUCUCCGUUCAGUAGUGGGGCUAGAGACAGGCACUACACUUGUCUGUUCAGUAUUGGGGCUAGAGACAGGCACUACACUUCUCCAUUCAGUAGUGGGGCUAGAGACAGGCACUACACUUCUCCGUUCAGUAGUGGGGCUAGAGACAGGCACUACACUUCUCCGUUCAGUAGUGGGGCUAGAGACAGGCACUACACUUCUCCGUUCAGUAGUGGGGCUAGAGACAGGCAUUACACUUGUCUGUUCAGUAGUGGGGCUAGAGACAGGCACUACACUUCUCCGUUCAGUAGUGGGGCUAGAGACAGGCACUACACUUGUCUGUUCAGUAGUGGGGCUAGAGACAGGCACUACACUUCUCCGUUCAGUAGUGGGGCUAGAGACAGGCACUACACUUGUCUGUUCAGUAUUGGGGCUAGAGACAGGCACUACACUUCUCCAUUCAGUAGUGGGGCUAGAGACAGGCACUACACUUCUCCGUUCAGUAGUGGGGCUAGAGACAGGCACUACACUUCUCCGUUCAGUAGUGGGGCUAGAGACAGGCACUACACUUCUCCGUUCAGUAGCUGGGAUAGAGACAGGCACUACACUUCUCCGUUCAGUAGUGGGGCUAGAGACAGACACUACACUUCACCGUUCAGUAGUGGGGCUAGAGACAGGCACUACACUUCUCCGUUCAGUAGCUGGGAUAGAGACAGGCACUACACUUCUCCGUUCAGUAGUGGGGCUAGAGACAGGCACUACACUUGUCUGUUCAGUAGCGAGUCUAGAGACAGGCACUACACUUCUCCGUUCAGUAGUGGGGCUAGAGACAGGCACUACACUUCUCCGUUCAGUAGUGGGGCUAGAGACAGGCACUACACUUGUCUGUUCAGUAGUGGGGCUAGAGACAGGCACUACACUUCUCCGUUCAGUAGUGGGGCUAGAGACAGGCACUACAGUUGUCUGUUCAGUAGUGGGGCUAGAGACAGGCACUACACUUCUCCGUUCAGUAGUGGGGCUAGAGACAGGCACUACACUUGUCUGUUCAGUAUUGGGGCUAGAGACAGGCACUACACUUCUCCAUUCAGUAGUGGGGCUAGAGACAGGCACUACACUUCUCCGUUCAGUAGUGGGGCUAGAGACAGGCACUACACUUCUCCGUUCAGUAGUGGGGCUAGAGACAGGCACUACACUUCUCCGUUCAGUAGUGGGGCUAGAGACAGGCACUACACUUGUCUGUUCAGUAGUGGGGCUAGAGACAGGCACUACACUUCUCCGUUCAGUAGUGGGGCUAGAGACAGGCACUACACUUGUCUGUUCAGUAGUGGGGCUAGAGACAGGCACUACACUUCUCCGUUCAGUAGUGGGGCUAGAGACAGGCACUACACUUGUCUGUUCAGUAUUGGGGCUAGAGACAGGCACUACACUUCUCCAUUCAGUAGUGGGGCUAGAGACAGGCACUACACUUCUCCGUUCAGUAGUGGGGCUAGAGACAGGCACUACACUUCUCCGUUCAGUAGUGGGGCUAGAGACAGGCACUACACUUCUCCGUUCAGUAGCUGGGAUAGAGACAGGCACUACACUUCUCCGUUCAGUAGUGGGGCUAGAGACAGACACUACACUUCACCGUUCAGUAGUGGGGCUAGAGACAGGCACUACACUUCUCCGUUCAGUAGCUGGGAUAGAGACAGGCACUACACUUCUCCGUUCAGUAGUGGGGCUAGAGACAGGCACUACACUUGUCUGUUCAGUAGCGAGUCUAGAGACAGGCACUACACUUCUCCGUUCAGUAGUGGGGCUAGAGACAGGCACUACACUUGUCUGUUCAGUAGUGGGGCUAGAGACAGGCACUACACUUCUCCAUUCAGUAGUGGGGCUAGAGACAGGCACUACACUUGUCUGUUCAGUAGUGGGGCUAGAGACAGGCACUACACUUCUCCGUUCAGUAGUGGGGCUAGAGACAGGCACUACAGUUGUCUGUUCAGUAGUGGGGCUAGAGACAGGCACUACACUUCUCCGUUCAGUAGUGGGGCUAGAGACAGGCACUACACUUCUCCGUUCAGUAGUGGGGCUAGAGACAGGCACUACACUUCUCCGUUCAGUAGCUGGGAUAGAGACAGGCACUACACUUCUCCGUUCAGUAGUGGGGCUAGAGACAGACACUACACUUCUCCGUUCCGUAGUGGGGCUAGAGACAGGCACUACACUUCUCCGUUCAGUAGCUGGGAUAGAGACAGGCACUACACUUCUCCGUUCAGUAGUGGGGCUAGAGACAGGCACUACACUUGUCUGUUCAGUAGCGAGUCUAGAGACAGGCACUACACUUCUCCGUUCAGUAGUGGGGCUAGAGACAGGCACUACACUUGUCUGUUCAGUAGUGGGGCUAGAGACAGGCACUACACUUCUCCGUUCAGUAGCGGGGCUAGAGACAGGCACUACACUUCUCUGUUCAGUAGUGGGGCUAGAGACAGGCACUACUCUUCUCCGUUCAGUAGUGGGGCUAGAGACAGGCACUACACUUCUCCGUUCAGUAGUGGGGCUAGAGACAGGCACUACACUUGUCUGUUCAGUAGUGGGGCUAGAGACAGGCACUACACUUCUCCGUUCAGUAGUGGGGCUAGAGACAGGCACUACAGUUGUCUGUUCAGUAGUGGGGCUAGAGACAGGCACUACACUUCUCCGUUCAGUAGCUGGGAUAGAGACAGGCACUACAUUUCUCUGUUCAGUAGUGGGGCUAGAGACAGGCACUACUCUUCUCCGUUCAGUAGCGGGGCUAGAGACAGGCACUACACUUCUCCGUUCAGUAGUGGGGCUAGAGACAGGCACUACACUUGUCUGUUCAGUAGCUGGGAUAGAGACAGGCACUACACUUGUCUGUUCAGUAGUGGGUCUAGAGACAGGCACUACACUUCUCCAUUCAGUAGUGGGGCUAGAGACAGGCACUACACUUCUCCAUUCAGUAGGAGAAGUGUGAAACGUACAUGUAGCAUGUAG
ensembl:lncRNA